GUAGCUCAGUGGAUAGAGCAACAGGUUGCGGACCUGUAGGUCGGAGGUUCGAGUCCUCUC
rnacentral:tRNA from 1 species